rnacentral:tRNA from 1 species
CCAUAGCUCAGUCGGUUAGAGCAGCGGACUCAUAAUCCGUGGGUCGAGGGUUCAAGUCCCCCUGGGA